GACGAACGCUGGCGGCGUGCUUAACACAUGCAAGUCGAACGCUGAAGCCCAGCUUGCUGGGUGGAUGAGUGGCGAACGGGUGAGUAACACGUGAGUAACCUGCCCCCUUCUUUGGGAUAACGCCCGGAAACGGGUGCUAAUACUGGAUAUUCACUGGCCUUCGCAUGGGGGUUGGUGGAAAGGUUUUUUCUGGUGGGGGAUGGGCUCGCGGCCUAUCAGCUUGUUGGUGGGGUGAUGGCCUACCAAGGCUUUGACGGGUAGCCGGCCUGAGAGGGUGACCGGUCACAUUGGGACUGAGAUACGGCCCAGACUCCUACGGGAGGCAGCAGUGGGGAAUAUUGCACAAUGGGCGAAAGCCUGAUGCAGCGACGCCGCGUGAGGGAUGACGGCCUUCGGGUUGUAAACCUCUUUCGCUCAUGGUCAAGCCGCAGCUUUGGGUUGUGGUGAGGGUAGUGGGUAAAGAAGCGCCGGCUAACUACGUGCCCCGC
rnacentral:rRNA from 1 species